rnacentral:rRNA from 1 species
CCUACGGGAGGCAGCAGUGAGGAAUAUUGGUCAAUGGGCGGGAGCCUGAACCAGCCAAGUCGCGUGAGGGAAGACGGUCCUAUGGAUUGUAAACCUCUUUAGGCGGGGAGCAAUGCCGGGCACGCGUGCCCGGAGGGAGAGUACCCGCAGAAUAAGCAUCGGCAAACUCCGUGCCAGCAGCCGCGGUAAUACGGAGGAUGUGAGCGUUAUCCGGAUUUAUGGGGGUUAAAGGGUGCGUAGGCGGAUUUUUAAGUCAGCGGUAAAAUGUCCGGGCUCAACCCGGGCCGGCCGUUGAAACUGGGGAUCUUGAGUGGGCGAGAGGUAUGCGGAAUGCGUGGUGUAGCGGUGAAAUGCGUAGAUAUCACGCAGAACUCCGAUUGCGAAGGCAGCAUACCGGCGCCCGACUGACGCUGAGGCACGAAAGCGUGGGGAUCGAACAGGAUUAGAUACCCGGGUAGUC